rnacentral:lncRNA from 1 species
ACGCGCCCAAGCGGAAGAAAAAGCUGAGAUCCUCCAUGGUAGGGGCCCGGUUAUUAUGGUCACGGUAUAGCAUGUAUAAAGCGAAGGCUAACUUCCAACUGUUGGGAGAUAACUGAAUAGGGGCGAUAUCAUACCAUUCGAUGAUGGACUUGAAGUAAGGAUGAAGUGGGGGCCCGAUGCCAAGCUUCACCAAUUUAGGCGUUAAAACCAUUCUUGGAAUACGCAGUCGAGGGUUGUAAUCAAAAACAUGAGGUCUCAUCCAUGGAUGAGGGCGCGCCCAGAUGCAUCCUUUAUCGUAAUACCGCAAACACCAUUCAAUCUCUGCCUUAGAGGCAGUAGAGGAUAAUCCUACACAGGCUAACUUUCCUGCCUUCUUGCGCCUCUUAGCUUUCAGGGUCUCGCGGAUGUCCCCCUCCUCUUCCCAGUCAAAGUCCAAUUCAGCAUCAGUUAUUGGGGGAUGGGCAUAAGGAUUUGGAGAAGGAGCUGGAGAAGGAGGGCGCGCCUCAUCUGGAUGGCCCUCCUCAUCUAUAGCAUUAUAGAAGUUUCUAGCCUCUUCCUCAGCUGCAGCCUCCUCAGAAUCUUCAUCGCUUUCAUCAC